UAGAGUUUGAUCAUGGCUCAGAUUGAACGCUGGCGGCAGGCCUAACACAUGCAAGUCGAGCGGAUGAAGAGAGCUUGCUCUCUGAUUCAGCGGCGGACGGGUGAGUAAUGCCUAGGAAUCUGCCUGGUAGUGGGGGACAACGUCUCGAAAGGGACGCUAAUACCGCAUACGUCCUACGGGAGAAAGCAGGGGACCUUUGGGCCUUGCGCUAUCAGAUGAGCCUAGGUCGGAUUAGCUAGUUGGUGAGGUAAUGGCUCACCAAGGCGACGAUCCGUAACUGGUCUGAGAGGAUGAUCAGUCACACUGGAACUGAGACACGGUCCAGACUCCUACGGGAGGCAGCAGUGGGGAAUAUUGGACAAUGGGCGAAAGCCUGAUCCAGCCAUGCCGCGUGUGUGAAGAAGGUCUUCGGAUUGUAAAGCACUUUAAGUUGGGAGGAAGGGCAGUAAGCGAAUACCUUGCUGUUUUGACGUACCGACAG
rnacentral:rRNA from 1 species